rnacentral:sRNA from 1 species
UCUCCUGAUUUUGCCGGCGACAUGCGCCAC